rnacentral:rRNA from 2 species
UUUAGCGCGGUGGUCCCACCUGACCCCAUGCCGAACUCAGAAGUGAAACGCCGUAGCGCCGAUGGUAGUGUGGGGUCUCCCCAUGUGAGAGUAGGGAACUGCCAGGC